UAAUAUUGCAAUGUAAACAUUGCAGUUUUGCUAAAACUGCAAUGUUUUACAUUGCAGGAUUA
rnacentral:miRNA from 1 species